AGCGAACGCUGGCGGCAUGCCUAACACAUGCAAGUCGAACGGGUCGGCUUCGGCCGGUCAGUGGCGGACGGGUGAGGAACGCGUAGGGAUCUGUCCUUAGGCGGGGGAUAACCGCGGGAAACUGCGGCUAAGACCGCAUGGGGCGCCGGUGUGAGCGCCGGCGUCAAAGGGGCGCAUGGAGAGGUGUGGGUGGCCGGGGGGGGAGCCCGCGUCCGAUUCGCUGGUUGGCGGGGUAGUGGCCCGACUAGGCGUGGGGCGGUACCUGGUCUGAGGGGGUGAUCCGCCACACUGGGACUGCGGCACAGCCCAGACUCCUACGGGGAGCAGCAGUGGGGUAUAUUGGGCAAUGGACGCAAGCCUGAUCCAGCAGUGCCGCGUGUGUGAAGAAGGUGUUCGGAUUGUGAAGCCCUUUCGGCGGGGGCGAUAGUGACGGUACCCGCAGAAGAAGCCCCGGCUAACUUCGUG
rnacentral:rRNA from 1 species